CCUACGGGAGGCAGCAGUGGGGAAUAUUGCACAAUGGGGGAAACCCUGAUGCAGCGACGCCGCGUGAGUGAAGAAGUAAUUCGUUAUGUAAAGCUCUAUCAGCAGGGAAGAAAAUGACGGUACCUGAGUAAGAAGCCCCGGCUAACUACGUGCCAGCAGCCGCGGUAAUACGUAGGGGGCAAGCGUUAUCCGGAUUUACUGGGUGGAAAGGGAGCGUAGACGGCAGUGCAAGUCUGGAGUGAAAGGCGGGGGCUCAACCCCCGGACUGCUCUGGAAACUGUACGGCUGGAGUGCAGGAGAGGUAAGUGGAAUUCCUAGUGUAGCGGGGAAAUGCGUAGAUAUUAGGAGGAACACCAGUGGCGAAGGCGGCUUACUGGACUGUAACUGACGUUGAGGCUCGAAAGCGUGGGGAGCAAACAGGAUUAGAUACCCCUGUAGUC
rnacentral:rRNA from 1 species